rnacentral:rRNA from 1 species
UCGUUCGGGGAUGUUUGGGUCCCUCUUCAUGGGGUGGAAGCGUAGCUGCUACGAAAACAUAUGCCGAUUCGGAAUCUGGCUCUGGAGCGGCGGCAAAACCGGCGCCAUUCACAGCAUCAGCGAGCGCUACAACGUCAAGGCGGCCGUCAUCUCGGCGGUCGAUGUGAUUAAAGGGCUCGGACACUGCAUGGGACUGGAUGUCAUCGAGGUACCGGGGGCCACCGGCUAUAUCGACACCAACUAUCGAGGCAAAGGCGAGGCGGCCGUUGCGUUACUGCAGGUGGAGCGGGAUUCUACGUGAUUACCUUAGGUCCGCUUUUUUGGCAUACUUAAGUUUAAUCGCCCCUUAAGUCCCUAACUUUAGCGUAAGCCACUAAAUGCGUUAAGGAGAGGGUACUCUCUUAGAGUCCCUUACAGGUUUGAGUGGGUAAGAAGAGUUUAUCGUCCCACCAGUUUGGCGAAAGUGGGCAAUUUUUGUUACUAUUUUUUCUACCGAUAAUCUCUAAAGAUCUGCUUCUAACCGAAGCCGCACAAACCUAGUUAUUACUAACGAAAAUUUACCAGUUCUUUAUAGAACCGGAGGCUAACUACGGGUCUUUAAUGUAUCCUUUUACGUUUUGAUUAAGUUCGGAAACUUAUGCCUAAGUUUUGAUUCAGUUCGGAAACUUACACAUAAGUUUUAAUUUAAUUACUCACGUCCUGCAAUUGGGCCGUGGGGAGGCUUACUGCUGUUUUUCGUUAGUAGACCGUAUGAAAUCUGACACUGGUGGAUGGGUAGAAUAUACUAAGGCGAUGGAAUAAUAUAGUUGAAGGAACUCGGCAAAAUGACUCUGUAACUUCGGGAUAAGGAGGGCAGUAGCAUAUAGUACGAUCCCUGGGUCUCUAGAUACCUGUUUACAUACGCCCACUCCUUAAAAAAAGAGUUACUUUGCGGCCAAAGAAUUUUUCAAGUAAUUCUAGAAAAAUUCGGAGGCUAGUAAAAUGUAAACGGAUUAUCUGAUGAGACCAUUUUCCCGCAAUUUAAUAAAUACCCCUUUACGGGACGUUUAUUAAGUUUAGAUAAGGGUGGUUUUUACUUAUGGCACUGCAACUAAAAAGAGGAGGUGGCGACUGUUUACUAAAAACACAGGACUCUGCUAAAUUGUAAAAUGAUGUAUAGAGUCUGACGCCUGCCCAGUGCUGCAAGAUGAACUAUUACAGGUUUCGCCUGUUGAUAUAAGUCCCAGUAAACGGCGGCUGUAACCCUGACGGUCCGAAGGUAGCGAAAUUCAUUGGCGGGUAAGUUCCGUCCUGCAUGAAUGGCGUAACGACUGCCUCACUGUCUCCAGCUAUAAUCCAGUGAAAUUGAAGAAUAGGUGAAAAUGCCUAAUAAGAACAGCGGGACGGAAAGACCCUAUGCACCUUUACUAGAACCUUGUAUUACUUCAUAUGUCUACCGUGACGCGGUAGGGUAAUUGCCCCGUGACCGUGUGCGAACAGCGUUGAAGUUUAAUGGCAACCAAACGUGCUAUUAAAUUAGCUAAUUGUCAUUAUAGUGCAAGGAUGCUAGUUUCACUGGGGCGGUGACCUCCUAAAAAGUAACGGGGGUGUGCAAAGGUUUAGUAAAGCAUACUUGGAUGCGUUCAUUGCAAUGGAUUUAACUAAGCUUGAUUUCAGAAUCUACAGAUUUUGAAAGGGCAAGUAACAUUGCCUGCCAUAGUGACCCGAUAGUUUCAAUCCAUUGACAGAGCUAUCGAUUAACGAAUAAAAGGUACGCUAGGGAUAACAGGCUAAUAACUCCCAAGAGUUCCCAUCGACGGAGUUGGUUGGCACCUCGAUGUCGGCUCAUCAUAUCCUGGUUGAGAAUAAUCUUCCAAGGGUCGGUCUGUUCUACCGUUAAAAUGGUACGUGAGCUGGGUUUAGAACGUCGUGAGACAGUUUGGUCCCUAUCUGCUGUUAAGAGGAAAAUACGUAGAAUCUUGCCUUAGUACGAGAGGACUGGGAUGGACUAAUCAAUGGUUUAGCAGUUGUCUUUUUUCAGGCACGCUGCAAAGCUACAUUGGGAAAAGAUAAUCGCUGAAGUCAAUAUAAAGCGAGAAGCUUCACUACAAGUUUUCGUAUAGGUGAAUCAUAGAUCAUGAGUACAAUAUAUGUUUUGGAUGAGCGGUUUUUAAAUCCCGGAGUUUAAAAUUAUACAACACCAAACCUACGAUAUAAUUAUUUCUU